GGGGCCGUAGCUCAGUUGGGAGAGCGCUACAAUGGCAUUGUAGAGGCCGUCGGUUCGAUUCCGUCCGGCUCCACCA
rnacentral:tRNA from 1 species